GGAGACGUGGCUGAGUGGUUUAAAGCGCCUGUCUUGAAAACAGGUAUACCUUAACGGGUAUCAGAGGUUCGAAUCCUCUCGUCUCCG
rnacentral:tRNA from 1 species